rnacentral:rRNA from 1 species
AGUGGCGGACGGGUGAGUAACGCGUAAGAAUCUAACUUCAGGACGGGGACAACAGUGGGAAACGACUGCUAAUACCCGAUGUGCCGCGAGGUGAAACCUAAUUGGCCUGAAGAAGAGCUUGCGUCUGAUUAGCUAGUUGGUGGGGUAAGAGCCUACCUAGGCGACGAUCAGUAGCUGGUCUGAGAGGAUGAGCAGCCACACUGGGACUGAGACACGGCCCAGACUCCUACGGGAGGCAGCAGUGGGGAAUUUUCCGCAAUGGGCGAAAGCCUGACGGAGCAACGCCGCGUGAGGGAGGAAGGUCUUUGGAUUGUAAACCUCUUUUCUCAAGGAAGAAGUUCUGACGGUACUUGAGGAAUCAGCCUCGGCUAACUCCGUGCCAGCAGCCGCGGUAAUACGGGGGAGGCAAGCGUUAUCCGGAAUUAUUGGGCGUAAAGCGUCCGCAGGUGGUCAGCCAAGUCUGCCGUCAAAUCAGGUUGCUUAACGACCUAAAGGCGGUGGAAACUGGCAGACUAGAGAGCAGUAGGGGUAGCAGGAAUUCCCAGUGUAGCGGUGAAAUGCGUAGAGAUUGGGAAGAACAUCGGUGGCGAAAGCGUGCUACUGGGCUGUAUCUGACACUCAGGGACGAAAGCUAGGGGAGCGAAAGGGAUUAGAUACCCCUGUAGUCCUAGCCGUAAACGAUGGAUACUAGGCGUGGCUU